rnacentral:lncRNA from 1 species
AAGAACACCGGGGAGGAGGGAGAGUGGCUCAGAGAACAUCAUGAGACCAGAACCACACGAGGAGGAAUGUAACGUCUGAGCUUCCUCUGAAGAAGAUACUGUGAAAGAAAUCGGGCCUGGCAACGUGAUGCCUUGGCUGAGCUGUUGGUGUCCCACGGGUGAUGUUAUUUCAGAUUGAAUAACCCAGACUUUGGUAAAAAUGCUGCAGACACUGGAUUGAUCUCUCUGGGCAGGAAACAUAAAACCUAUAGAUGUGGGAAGUAUAGAAUUUCUCUGGCAGGAAACGGAUAUUUAUCCUGUCAAACAUAUUGGAGCAGGAGAUGAAUGGAUAUUUUUUGGAGGGAAGAAUUUCCUUCUUCCUCUGGCACUGAGUUAGCUGGGACCUGGACUCUGAGACAAAGCACGCUGGAGAUUUUCUUUGUUGGGAACUGAGCUGACGUUUACCAGGUACAGGCAACAUAGGCAGUGGCUGAGCUGGGGCUGAACACAGAGGGGCUGACUCUCAGGCUAGUGCUCCCUCCGUUUAUCUAAGUCAAAAGCGUAUGUCUCCCCACCAAAUGAGAUGGGGGAACAAGACUUCCUCUGCAAAUGCAUGAUUCAUGCAAAUUUCAAUGGAUUUACAUUAAGUCUUUUGAGUUGAAAUUCUCAAGGUCUAUCUCCUAGCCAAACUAUUAAUUCUUUAUGGUACUUUUCUAACUGUUGCAACUAUUUGUUCUCAUUAUUCAUUAGCAAAGCCCUAGAGUCUCCUGGAAGAAUUAUUCACAUCUCAUGCAUAACCACAAAAAUGUAUUAUGAUCAGAGACAAGGGUCUUAGCCCCACAAAGAAUGAGGUGUUGGCCUGCAAGGAAAACCCCUGUCUCCUCCCUAUGUAAAUGAGGAUCGUCAGAAUUCAUUUUUUUAAUGUGCUGAUAUUACACAUCAUUAGAAUCUGCAUAUAUAAAUAUCUUUCCAUUAUCCAGAUCAACUGGCAGCAAGGCUUCAAGGAAAUCUUAAUGAUAUUGGACAUUUCGUUUUUCCUGGUGUACAAGACAGAGUCAAAAGAUGAAAGUGGUGUUUCUGAUCACUUUCCUUUUGGUCACAGCUCACUGCGCACCAGUCCAAGAAUUUCAUCCUGCAAUUCUCUAUCAUCAGUUCUUGCACUGGAAGCAACUUCAGAGGUUAUAUAAACUCUUGAAUAACUGUAGGAAACCACCAAUGAACAGUAGAACUACCAUGGUCCCCACGCCACCAUUUCCACCAAUAACAGAAAUUGCUCCUCCUUUGACUUCUAACCCACCAGUCCCUCCUACCCCUGACCGGCGGGGAGAUUCACUAUUCACGAAGUUCUGAAGGAACUCAUUAGCCCAAUGUAGCUUCUCCCUCCAGGAAUUCUUUAGUACCACAGCUGAAGAUCAAAGACAUUAUCUGGCUGCUCCCUGUACCACAGUGUGCCCUUUUCAAUAUCCUGGAUAAAAUGACAAUGAUUCAUUAAAAAUGUUUAUAUCACUAUAUUAUGCCCAAGUGGAAUAUCAUUUCCCAUCAUUACCAGCAUUGUAAAAGAAGGAUGAGGAAAAUGAUCAAAGGAAUCUAGGAAAUAGGAUCUUUUUUCUCUGGCAAGUCAUAUGUUUAGCUAAGAAUCAGAGGUUCUAAAACAAAGGAAGAAAGGAAAAGCAAUUUGGGGAGGAGCACACAGCCUGCAGUUUCUGCCAAACUUGGGGAAGUGGUAGGUGACAGAAGGGUUCUGUCCCCAGCCUACAUCCAAGCCCUUGAAGAGACUCCUGGGAUGUUUCCAGCAGUAGGAGAGGGUGUUCUGGCCAUUUUAAUUCAGAAAGAAAUUGAUGAAGCCAUGAGGUAAUGCACUCAAAGUUUUCUUUUGCCUUAUUUGGGAGGCAACGUUCUAAGUUUCUCCCUAAUCUGUCUAGACAGAUGUACAAAGCAAAAAGAACAAGAAAGAUUUUACAGAUGUUAUCCAUUCUCCAUCUCUACAAAUAUGUAGUCCAGCUUUCUCUUUCGGGAAACAGAACAGUAACCUCUGCACCUCAGUUAAGAACAAUGAUCACUGUCUGUUAGUCCCUUCUGUUCCUCAGUGUGGAAAAGUCACUACAUGGCAUUCACAGGGGUCUUUGGUCUCAUUUGAGAAGUUUCCUACAGAGCCCUUCUUACAACUGGCUGCAACAUGGUCACACGUAGAAAUCAAAAGGAAUAGAGUUUGUGUAGGAGAGAACAUGCAUCAUUUCAUAGAAACCAAAGGCUCAGGCUUGGAAAGGACAUUAAAGUCUUCAGAAUCAACAUCCCCUGGGAGCUGGUUAGAAGAGCACCAGAGAUCAAGCUCCACUCCAGGUGAACUGAAGCGGUAUCUGCAUUUAAACAAGAUGCCUCGUGCUCCUCCACAACGUCACCAACUUGGAGAUAUCUGCCAGAAUACCUAGCAGCAGAGAGCUCACUGCAGGCAGGACGGCUCACUCCAGAAUCCUUCGCUGGGUAGCUUUGGUCUUGGAAAAGUGAUUCUCUGCAUGGAGUUAAAAUUUGGUCCUAGCUCAACUCUGGGGUUGCAUUGAAUAAAUCUAGUCUGUCUUCUCA